GGGGAUUUAGCUCAGUGGUAGAGCCUUGCCUGGUAAGCACAAGGCCCUGGGUUCGGUUCUCAGCUCCG
rnacentral:tRNA from 1 species